rnacentral:rRNA from 1 species
GUAACAUGGAUUGCUUGCAAUCUGAUGACGAGUGGCGCACGGGUGCGUAACGCGUAUGCAAUCUACCUUUUACAGGAGAAUAGCCCAGAGAAAUUUGGAAUAAUGCUCCAUAAUAUCAUUUAUCAGCAUUGGUUUAUGAUUAAAGCUCCGGUGGUAAAAGAUGAGCAUGCGUUCUAUUAGCUAGUAGGUGAGGUAACGGCUCACCUAGGCUACGAUAGAUAGGGGCCCUGAGAGGGGGAUCCCCCACACUGGUACUGAGACACGGACCAGACUCCUACGGGAGGCAGCAGUGAGGAAUAUUGGACAAUGGAGGAAACUCUGAUCCAGCCAUGCCGCGUGCAGGAUGACUGCCCUAUGGGUUGUAAACUGCUUUUAUAUAGGAAGAAACACUCCCACGUGUGGGGGCUUGACGGUACUAUAUGAAUAAGGAUCGGCUAACUCCGUGCCAGCAGCCGCGGUAAUACGGAGGAUCCAAGCGUUAUCCGGAAUCAUUGGGUUUAAAGGGUCCGCAGGCGGCCUGUUAAGUCAGAGGUGAAAUCCUACAGCUCAACUGUAGAACUGCCUUUGAUACUGAUAGGCUUGAGUUAUUGUGAAGUGGUUAGAAUGUGUGGUGUAGCGGUGAAAUGCUUAGAUAUCACACAGAAUACCCAUUGCGAAGGCAGAUCACUAACAAUAUACUGACGCUCAUGGACGAAAGCGUGGGGAGCGAACGGGAUUAGAUACCCCGGUAGUCCACGCCGUAAACGAUGGAUACUAACUGUUCGACCUUCGGGUUGAGUGGUCAAGCG